rnacentral:rRNA from 1 species
UGGGGAAUAUUGGACAAUGGGCGCAAGCCUGAUCCAGCCAUGCCGCGUGAGUGAUGAAGGCCCUAGGGUUGUAAAGCCCUUUCACCGGUGAAGAUAAUGACGGUAACCGGAGAAGAAGCCCCGGCUAACUUCGUGCCAGCAGCCGCGGUAAUACGAAGGGGGCUAGCGUUGUUCGGAUUUACUGGGCGUAAAGCGCACGUAGGCGGACUUUUAAGUCAGGGGUGAAAUCCCGGGGCUCAACCCCGGAACUGCCUUUGAUACUGGAAGUCUUGAGUAUGGUAGAGGUGAGUGGAAUUCCGAGUGUAGAGGUGAAAUUCGUAGAUAUUCGGAGGAACACCAGUGGCGAAGGCGGCUCACUGGACCAUUACUGACGCUGAGGUGCGAAAGCGUGGGGAGCAAACAGG